UACGGAGGGGGCAAGCGUUAUUCGGAAUCAUUGGGCGUAAAGGGCGCGUAGGCGGCUUGGCAAGUCGAAGGUGAAAUCCCCCGGCUCAACCGGGGAACUGCCUUCGAAACUGCUCGGCUAGAGUCCGGGAGAGGGUAGUGGAAUUCCCAGUGUAGCGGUGAAAUGCGUAGAUACUGGGAGGAACACCGGUGGCGAAGGCGGCUACCUGGACCGGUACUGACGCUGAGGCGCGAAAGCUAGGGGAGCAAACGGG
rnacentral:rRNA from 1 species